GGGGGUGUGACUAGUUGGCCACCGCGGAGCACGGUUGGGCCCAGCUAAUUGCAAAGCUUGGUGUCAAGCUCUCCAGUAUCCCCGGGAUCACUGGCGCAAGAGCGUGACUCUAAGUGAGCUCCCUGCGUACUUAUGGUACUAGGAGGCGGGCAUCGUUCUCUUGUGAGAUAGGAGCUCUGUGUCUCAAUGAAGAAGGAGCUUCAUGGACAC
rnacentral:misc_RNA from 1 species